rnacentral:rRNA from 1 species
GGUUAAGCGACUAAGCGUACACGGUGGAUGCCCUGGCAGUCAGAGGCGAUGAAGGACGUGCUAAUCUGCGAAAAGCGUCGGUAAGGUGAUAUGAACCGUUAUAACCGGCGAUGUCCGAAUGGGGAAACCCAGUGUGAUUCGUCACACUAUCGUUAACUGAAUACAUAGGUUAACGAGGCGAACCGGGGGAACUGAAACAUCUAAGUACCCCGAGGAAAAGAAAUCAACCGAGAUUCCCCCAGUAGCGGCGAGCGAACGGGGAGCAGCCCAGAGUCUGAAUCAGCUUGUGUGUUAGUGGAACGGUCUGGAAAGUCCGACGGUACAGGGUGAUAGUCCCGUACACCAAAAUGCACAGGUUGUGAACUCGAAGAGUAGGGCGGGACACGUGGUAUCCUGUCUGAAUAUGGGGGGACCAUCCUCCAAGGCUAAAUACUCCUGACUGACCGAUAGUGAACCAGUACCGUGAGGGAAAGGCGAAAAGAACCCCGGCGAGGGGAGUGAAAAAGAACCUGAAACCGUGUACGUACAAGCAGUGGGAGCACCUUCGGGUGUGACUGCGUACCUUUUGUAUAAUGGGUCAGCGACUUAUAUUCUGUAGCAAGGUUAACCGUAUAGGGGAGCCGCAGGGAAACCGAGUCUUAACUGGGCGUUAAGUUGCAGGGUAUAGACCCGAAACCCGGUGAUCUAGCCAUGGGCAGGUUGAAGGUUGGGUAACACUAACUGGAGGACCGAACCGACUAAUGUUGAAAAAUUAGCGGAUGACUUGUGGCUGGGGGUGAAAGGCCAAUCAAACCGGGAGAUAGCUGGUUCUCCCCGAAAGCUAUUUAGGUAGCGCCUCGUGAACUCAUCUUCGGGGGUAGAGCACUGUUUCGGCUAGGGGGUCAUCCCGACUUACCAACCCGAUGCAAACUACGAAUACCGAAGAAUGUUAUCACGGGAGACACACGGCGGGUGCUAACGUCCGUCGUGAAGAGGGAAACAACCCAGACCGCCAGCUAAGGUCCCAAAGUCAUGGUUAAGUGGGAAACGAUGUGGGAAGGCACAGACAGCCAGGAUGUUGGCUUAGAAGCAGCCAUCAUUUAAAGAAAGCGUAAUAGCUCACUGGUCAAGUCGGCCUGCGCGGAAGAUGUAACGGGGCUAAACCAUGCACCGAAGCUGCGGCAGCGACACUAUGUGUUGUUGGGUAGGGGAGCGUUCUGUAAGCCUGCGAAGGUGACCUGUGAGGGUUGCUGGAGGUAUCAGAAGUGCGAAUGCUGACAUAAGUAACGAUAAAGCGGGUGAAAAGCCCGCUCGCCGGAAGACCAAGGGUUCCUGUCCAACGUUAAUCGGGGCAGGGUGAGUCGACCCCUAAGGCGAGGCCGAAAGGCGUAGUCGAUGGGAAACAGGUUAAUAUUCCUGUACUUGGUGUUACUGCGAAGGGGGGACGGAGAAGGCUAUGUUAGCCGGGCGACGGUUGUCCCGGUUUAAGCAUGUAGGCUGAUUGUCCAGGCAAAUCCGGAUAAUCAAGGCUGAGGUGUGAUGACGAGGCACUACGGUGCUGAAGUAACAAAUGCCCUGCUUCCAGGAAAAGCCUCUAAGCAUCAGGUAACAUCAAAUCGUACCCCAAACCGACACAGGUGGUCAGGUAGAGAAUACCAAGGCGCUUGAGAGAACUCGGGUGAAGGAACUAGGCAAAAUGGUGCCGUAACUUCGGGAGAAGGCACGCUGGUGUGUAGGUGAAGUCCCUGCGGAUGGAGCUGAGACCAGUCGAAGAUACCAGCUGGCUGCAACUGUUUAUUAAAAACACAGCACUGUGCAAACACGAAAGUGGACGUAUACGGUGUGACGCCUGCCCGGUGCCGGAAGGUUAAUUGAUGGGGUUAUCCGUAAGGAGAAGCUCUUGAUCGAAGCCCCGGUAAACGGCGGCCGUAACUAUAACGGUCCUAAGGUAGCGAAAUUCCUUGUCGGGUAAGUUCCGACCUGCACGAAUGGCGUAAUGAUGGCCAGGCUGUCUCCACCCGAGACUCAGUGAAAUUGAACUCGCUGUGAAGAUGCAGUGUACCCGCGGCAAGACGGAAAGACCCCGUGAACCUUUACUAUAGCUUGACACUGAACAUUGAGCCUUGAUGUGUAGGAUAGGUGGGAGGCUUUGAAGCGUGGACGCCAGUCUGCGUGGAGCCAACCUUGAAAUACCACCCUUUAAUGUUUGAUGUUCUAACGUUGGCCCCUGACCGGGGUUGCGGACAGUGUCUGGUGGGUAGUUUGACUGGGGCGGUCUCCUCCCAAAGCGUAACGGAGGAGCACGAAGGUUAGCUAAUCCUGGUCGGACAUCAGGAGGUUAGUGCAAUGGCAUAAGCUAGCUUGACUGCGAGCGUGACGGCGCGAGCAGGUGCGAAAGCAGGUCAUAGUGAUCCGGUGGUUCUGAAUGGAAGGGCCAUCGCUCAACGGAUAAAAGGUACUCCGGGGAUAACAGGCUGAUACCGCCCAAGAGUUCAUAUCGACGGCGGUGUUUGGCACCUCGAUGUCGGCUCAUCACAUCCUGGGGCUGAAGUAGGUCCCAAGGGUAUGGCUGUUCGCCAUUUAAAGUGGUACGCGAGCUGGGUUUAGAACGUCGUGAGACAGUUCGGUCCCUAUCUGCCGUGGGCGCUGGAGAAUUGAGGGGGGCUGCUCCUAGUACGAGAGGACCGGAGUGGACGCAUCACUGGUGUUCGGGUUGUCAUGCCAAUGGCACUGCCCGGUAGCUAAAUGCGGAAGAGAUAAGUGCUGAAAGCAUCUAAGCACGAAACUUGCCCCGAGAUGAGUUCUCCCUGAGACUUUAAGUCUCCUGAAGGAACGUUGAAGACGACGACGUUGAUAGGCCGGGUGUGUAAGCGCAGCGAUGCGUUGAGCUAACCGGUACUAAUGAACCGUGAGGCUUAACCUU